rnacentral:rRNA from 1 species
CUACGGGUUGCUCCAGUGAGGAAUUUUGCGCAAUGGGGGAAACCCUGACGCAGCAACGCCGCGUGAGUGAUGAAGGCUUUCGGGUCGUAAAACUCUGUCAAGUGGGAAGAAACUGAAAGGUGCAAAUAACAUCUUUUUUUGACGGUACCACUGAAGGAAGCACCGGCUAACUCCGUGCCAGCAGCCGCGGUAAUACGGGGGGUGCAAGCGUUAUUCGGAAUCAUUGGGCGUAAAGGGCGCGUAGGCGGCCUCUUAAGUCAGAUGUGAAAGCCCGGGGCUUAACCCCGGAAGUGCAUUUGAAACUAAGGGGCUUGAGUAUGGGAGAGGGAAGUGGAAUUCCUGGUGUAGAGGUGAAAUUCGUAGAUAUCAGGAGGAACACCGGUGGCGAAGGCGACUUCCUGGACCAAUACUGACGCUGAGGCGCGAAGGCGUGGGGAGCAAACAGGAUUAGAUACCCUGGUAGUC